rnacentral:lncRNA from 1 species
GCAGGGGUUUUAUUUAUUUAUUUAUUUAUUUAUUUAUGUUGCUUUUAGAUUUCUGUGCUUUCAAAGAGAAAAUAGCAGUGGUCAUGCUUGGAGAAGGGAAGUUACUUUGAUGCCACAGAUCAAUAAGAGGCAUUGUUCGGCUAAGUAUGACAGAUAAACGUGGAGAAAAAAAAAUGCCGUUUCCCAAUCUUAAAAGAAAUCACCAUCACGAGGCAUCCUCAGAACAAAGCAAGACUGAGAAACGAAUGCCCGUUUCCAUCUUCACAUAUAAUUUGCUGGGGGAUUUUUGCAGAAGCUGAGGCCUGUUGCUGGUGAUUUGUUAUGUAAGUGAAUACUGAAACAUCU